rnacentral:lncRNA from 1 species
AAACCAAACAAUGUCAUCCCGGAGCAACCCCCUCUAUCUCACAUUAACCAGAUCUAAAAAAAACCCUCUCAAAUAUGUAAUCUAUUAUUUUCAGAAGCCCUAAGAGAAAGGCAAAUAAUCUCUUCUCUAUAGUAACUGAGGGGAAAACAGUUUACCAUAUUUGUUCUGAAAUAACAAAACCCAAGGAGGAACAACUCUCUCUGAGGUAAGAGGGCAUCACAGGAGGGAUUUCAAUCCUUCCUAGUACUGGGAGGAGAAAGUGCCCUUUUCUCCAAGAGGAAAGAAUCUAUUUAUCAUCAAACAAACAAUGUGGGAGAGUUCAUAGCUGCACAAGUGUUUUCUGGGCGAAGUAAAAUGAAUCAUGGAUUAAGCUAUUUGGAAAAAAGUGUGAAAACAGAGGAGUUGAUACCAAAUUAAAACGACUUUUGGAAAUAUCAUGUACGUAUGGAACAAGUGCAAAGGGAACCACUGACUCAGCGUCAGAAAUGCCUUGUGGGGCUUUGCCGGGAGGGACUUACAGUAUAUCUUUGACAUCACUGCGCCGGCUCUUCCCUCCCUACCCGGAGAGAGGAAGACUUUUCUAAGAGGAAGCCAGGCCACAUCAGAUGCCCCCAGAUGGCAGGACACACAAGGGACACAUAUCUCCGGAAAGAGGAGGCACAUGGUUGGGCAAUCUCGACCCAUGAAGGGGGAAAAGAAAAGGGCUAAACUGAAGCUAGUGCAGCUUUUGUUCUGCCUGGAGCAGUUCAGGCUGAGCAUGGCUUCUCUGAGGCUUUGGGACCAGGAGAGGGUGAAGUGGCACCACCACCUUUCAAGGGGAACACAGAGCUCUAAGCAGUGCUCUUGUUUUUGGUGGGCCCAGCCAAGGAUCUUAAAACAUUUUGAUAGAAUGAGCAACAUGUAGCUGCAGCCUCGAUGGGUCAACAUUUUGGAUGAUAAAAGCACACAAUGCUGAUAGAUUUGUGCAUGACCAAGCAUACCUUUCAAGGAGCUCUCAGCGGAGGUUUGCCCUUUGAGACAGACACAGUCAGUGCACAGAAACUGUUUUUUUAAGAUAUCAUCCAGGAGUCAUUCCUAGAAUAGGAAUGGAAUAGACAUGCCUCCCUGAGAAGAAAGGAAGACAGAUUCUAUACUGUUAGAAUUUGAAUCUGUGUUGCAGGGAGAUGAGGAAUUUGAAGCCAGACUCUUGGGCUGUUAAUGUAUGGCUAAGUGGUGAUGUGGUGACAACCUUGAAUGCUAGUCCUGGAGGUCAAAUCACCAGCAGCUGGUGCCAUGGGAGGCUUUGCUUAGGGGACACGGCUGGGUUCUGCCUGGAUGCUGCAUCCCAAGGGAGGCAUUGAGGUGCGGCUGUGAGGACUCCAAACCCCAUGUCCAGAAGGAUGAGUAACAGAGAUCCUGUGUCAUUCAUUGAUUUCAAUAAAAUAUUUAUUGGAUCCAUAGCAUGGGCCUGGCAUUGACCAGUCAUCAAAACACAAUUCCCUGCCCUCAUGGAGUUUCUAUUCUAGACCAUGCGGGAGGAUAGGAGCAUAUGGACAGUAAACAAGAAAUCCAGUCCUUCCAUGAGACCUCGGUACACACAGAACUCCUCCUACCACGUGCAACCUUAUUCUCGGCUGAGCAACUCAUAAAUCGCAUAACAAAAA